GGUAUGUAAAGCUCUAUCAGCAGGGAAGAAAAAAUGACGGUACCUGACUAAGAAGCCCCGGCUAACUACGUGCCAGCAGCCGCGGUAAUACGUAGGGGGCAAGCGUUAUCCGGAUUUACUGGGUGUAAAGGGAGCGCAGGCGGUGCGGCAAGUCUGAUGUGAAAGCCCGGGGCUCAACCCCGGGACUGCAUUGGAAACUGUCGUACUUGAGUAUCGGAGAGGUAAGUGGAAUUCCUAGUGUAGCGGUGAAAUGCGUAGAUAUUAGGAGGAACACCAGUGGCGAAGGCGGCUUACUGGACGAUAACUGACGCUGAGGCUCGAAAGCGUGGGGAGCAAACAGGAUUAGAUACCCUGGUAGUCCACGCCGUAAA
rnacentral:rRNA from 1 species